rnacentral:tRNA from 1 species
GCCUGGGUGGCUCAGUCGGUUAAGCAUCUGACUUCGCUCAGGUCAUGAUCACACGGUUUAUGGGUUCAAGCCCCAUGUCAGGCC